UACGUAGGAUGCGAGCGUUAUCCGGAUUUAUUGGGUUUAAAGGGUGCGUAGGCGGGCUUUUAAGUCAGCGGUAAAAGUUCGGGGCUCAACCCCGUCCGGCCGUUGAAACUGGGGGUCUUGAGUGGGCGAGAAGAAGGCGGAAUGCGUGGUGUAGCGGUGAAGUGCAUAGAUAUCACGCAGAACCCCGAUUGCGAAGGCAGCCUUCCGGCGCCCUACUGACGCUGAGGCACGAAAGCGUGGGUAUCGAACAGG
rnacentral:rRNA from 1 species